UACGUAGGGACCAAGCGUUGUCCGGAAUCAUUGGGCGUAAAGAGCGUGUAGGCGGCUUGUUAAGUCUUGCGUGAAAUCUCGGGGCUCAACCCCGAGCGGUCGUGAGAAACUGGCAGGCUAGAGUGCGGGAGAGGAGAGUGGAAUUCCUGGUGUAGCGGUGAAAUGCGUAGAUAUCAGGAAGAACACCCGUGGCGAAGGCGGCUCUCUGGAACGCAACUGACGCUGAGACGCGAAAGCGUGGGGAGCAAACAGG
rnacentral:rRNA from 1 species